AGAAUCAACGCUGGCGGCGUGCCUAACACAUGCAAGUCGAACGAGAAAGUGGAGCAAUCCAUGAGUAAAGUGGCGCACGGGUGAGUAACACGUGACUAACCUACCCUUGAGUGGGGGAUAACCUAGGGAAACCUGGGCUAAUACCGCAUAAUACCUUCGGGUCAAAGGAGCAAUUCGCUUAAGGAGGGGGUCGCGGCCGAUUAGUUAGUUGGCGGGGUAAUGGCCCACCAAGACUGUGAUCGGUAUCCGGCCUGAGAGGGCGCACGGACACACUGGAACUGAAACACGGUCCAGACUCCUACGGGAGGCAGCAGUGGGGAAUUUUGCGCAAUGGGGGAAACCCUGACGCAGCAACGCCGCGUGGAGGAUGAAGUCCCUUGGGACGUAAACUCCUUUCGAUCGGGACGAUUAGUGACGGUACCGGAAGAAGAAGCCCCGGCUAACUUCGCGCCAGCAGCCGC
rnacentral:rRNA from 1 species